UACAGAGACUGCGAGCGUUAUUCGGAUUCACUGGGCGUAAAGGGUGCGCAGGCGGCCGAGUGUGUGAGGCGUGAAAGCCCGGGGCUUAACCCCGGAACUGCACCUCAAACUACACGGCUAGAGCAUUGGAGAGGGUAGCAGAAUUCAUGGUGUAGCAGUGAAAUGCGUAGAUAUCAUGAGGAAUACCAGAGGCGAAGGCGGCUACCUGGACAAUUGCUGACGCUCAGGCACGAAAGCGUGGGGAGCAAAAGGG
rnacentral:rRNA from 1 species